rnacentral:rRNA from 1 species
GACGAACGCUGGCGGCGUGCCUAACACAUGCAAGUCGAACGGAAAGGCCCUGCUUUCGUGGGGUGCCCGAGUGGCGAACGGGUGAGUAACACGUGAGUAACCUGCCCUUGACUUUGGGAUAACUUCAGGAAACUGGGGCUAAUACCGGAUAGGAGCUCCUGCUGCAUGGUGGGGGUUGGAAAGUUUCGGCGGUUGGGGAUGGACUCGCGGCUUAUCAGCUUGUUGGUGGGGUAGUGGCUUACCAAGGCUUUGACGGGUAGCCGGCCUGAGAGGGUGACCGGCCACAUUGGGACUGAGAUACGGCCCAGACUCCUACGGGAGGCAGCAGUGGGGAAUAUUGCACAAUGGGCGGAAGCCUGAUGCAGCAACGCCGCGUGCGGGAUGACGGCCUUCGGGUUGUAAACCGCUUUCGCCUGUGACGAAGCGUGAGUGACGGUAAUGGGUAAAGAAGCACCGGCUAACUACGUG